rnacentral:rRNA from 1 species
CAGCAGCCACGGUAAAACGUAGGUGGUAAGCGUUGUCCGGAAUUAUUGGGCGUAAAGCGCGCGCAGGCGGAUAGGUCAGUCUGUCUUAAAAGUUCGGGGCUUAACCCCGUGAUGGGAUGGAAACUGCCAAUCUAGAGUAUCGGAGAGGAAAGUGGAAUUCCUAGUGUAGCGGUGAAAUGCGUAGAUAUUAGGAAGAACACCAGUGGCGAAGGCGACUUUCUGGACGAAAACUGACGCUGAGGCGCGAAAGCCAGGGGAGCGAACGGGAUUAGAUACCCCCGUAGUCCCUGUCUCUUAUACA